rnacentral:rRNA from 1 species
CAUGCAAGUCGAACGAUGAUCCCAGCUUGCUGGGGGAUUAGUGGCGAACGGGUGAGUAACACGUGAGUAACCUGCCCUUGACUCUGGGAUAAGCCUGGGAAACUGGGUCUAAUACCGGAUAUGACUCCUCAUCGCAUGGUGGGGGGUGGAAAGCUUUUGUGGUUUUGGAUGGACUCGCGGCCUAUCAGCUUGUUGGUGGGGUAAUGGCCUACCAAGGCGACGACGGGUAGCCGGCCUGAGAGGGUGACCGGCCACACUGGGACUGAGACACGGCCCAGACUCCUACGGGAGGCAGCAGUGGGGAAUAUUGCACAAUGGGCGAAAGCCUGAUGCAGCGACGCCGCGUGAGGGAUGACGGCCUUCGGGUUGUAAACCUCUUUCAGUAGGGAAGAAGCCGUAAGGUGACGGUACCUGCAGAAGAAGCGCCGGCUAACUACGUGCCAGCAGCCGCGGUAAUACGUAGGGCGCAAGCGUUAUCCGGAAUUAUUGGGCGUAAAGAGCUCGUAGGCGGUUUGUCGCGUCUGCUGUGAAAGACCGGGGCUCAACUCCGGUUCUGCAGUGGGUACGGGCAGACUAGAGUGCAGUAGGGGAGACUGGAAUUCCUGGUGUAGCGGUGAAAUGCGCAGAUAUCAGGAGGAACACCGAUGGCGAAGGCAGGUCUCUGGGCUGUAACUGACGCUGAGGAGCGAAAGCAUGGGGAGCGAACAGGAUUAGAUACCCUGGUAGUCCAUGCCGUAAACGUUGGGCACUAGGUGUGG